rnacentral:rRNA from 1 species
AGCGCAGGUGGUUGUAUAAGUCUGAAGUAAAAGGCAGUGGCUCAACCAUUGUGUGCUUUGGAAACUGUACAACUUGAGUGCAGAAGGGGAGAGUGGAAUUCCAUGUGUAGCGGUGAAAUGCGUAGAUAUAUGGAGGAACACCGGUGGCGAAAGCAGCUCUCUGGUCUGUAACUGACACUGAGGCUCGAAAGCGUGGGGAGCAAACA